GCUUUUUGAAAUAAUUUAAAGUCUGACCUGCCCAAUGAUUAUUUGAAUGGCUGCGGUAUUUUGACCGUACUAAGGUAGCAUAAUAAUUAGUUUUUUAAUUGAAAGCUGGUAUGAAUGGUUGGACGAGAAAAUAGCUGUCUCAAUUUAAUUUUAAUUAGAAUUUUAUCUUUAAGUUAAAAAGCUUAAAUAAGUUUAAAAGACGAGAAGACCCUAUAGAGUUUUAUAUUUAUUUAUUAUUGUAAAUUUAAAGAAUUUUUUUUUUUAUUAAUAAAUAAAUAUUUUGUUGGGGUGACAAAAAAAUUAAAAAAACUUUUUUUAUUUUAAAAUCAUUGAUUUAUGAAUAAGUGAUCCAUUUAUUAUGAUUAAAAGAUUAAAUUACCUUAGGGAUAACAGCGUAAUUUUUUUUAAGAGUUCAUAUCGAAAAAAAAGAUUGCGACCUC
rnacentral:rRNA from 1 species